rnacentral:pre_miRNA from 1 species
AGUGCUAGCCCCUAGUAGGUGUUCAGUAAAUAUUUUUUGAAGAAUUUAAUUUACUGACCAAUUCCUAGAAGCCAGGUACUUCCAAGCUUUU